UGAUGCUUUUCGGAACACAUAAAAUCGUAACAAAUGCCCUUAAUGAAACAUAAAAUUAACAAAGCAUUGCAAACAAUUCGAGCACAGAUUGUAUUUUGUAGCAUUUUCGAAUUCGAGGGUCUUAACCCUACAACCCAAAGACAAUGGCGCCAAGGGGUUAAAGGUGUAAACAUUUGACAAAAAUGUCACAUCAAAGAUACGGAUAUGCCCUGCAACAGCUGUCCAUUGCUCGGAACUUCAGAUGGUGGUAGAACUCGAAAGGAAAGCGGCAGGACACCUCCUCCUUUGUCAUGUUAAUGGAGCAGCUUGCUCCGAAUCUGAUUUGGACUAGCAAACGGUAUCUCGGAAAAGGAACCACAAUCGCGACCAACUGUCGCGACAGCUGUCAAAAUGCUAAUAAGUCAUAUUCAGUGCAUGCCAGGCAAGGAUUAAGGAAUGUAAUUGAAAUCGCUGAUUGAUUGAUUGAUGGUUGGACUCAGGACAUUAGGAGUGCGAACGGUUCAUCAAAACAAAUGCACACUGUGCUGGGCAGCUUCAACUCCUGGAGGAACAUUAACUGAUUGAGUCCCCUUUAAUCCCACCUUCGGGGAUUUUCUCAAUUAAAGCAACCAGCAGAGCAACAAAUUGAUUGAUUCCUAUCGCUCGCCACGAGAGAGGAGAACGAGAGAGGUGGGACUUAAAUGAGGAGAUAAGCCCAAGUUGCAGACGAAGCAACCGAGUUACCAAGGAACAGACUGCAAGUAGAGAAUGUAAUCCUGUUAGGCAAAACUUUGGAUGUGCCUCGAGGACGAACUUCCAUGGAAACCCAUCUGCAGCUCGCAGCAAAUGCGCAAUUUUCAGCUUGACUUGGCCCAUGAAACAAAUUCCAAAUUCGAGAUGAGUACAGGGGCAUGUCAACCUUAAUUGAAAAAAUAAAAGUAAAGCGUACAAAACUGA